rnacentral:rRNA from 1 species
GACGAACGCUGGCGGCGUGCUUAACACAUGCAAGUCGAACGCUGAAGCUCAGCUUUUGUUGGGUGGAUGAGUGGCGAACGGGUGAGUAACACGUGAGUAACCUGCCUCCUUCUUUGGGAUAACGCCCGGAAACGGGUGCUAAUACUGGAUAUUCACUGGUCUUCGCAUGGGGGUUGGUGGAAAGGGUUUUUCUGGUGGGGGAUGGGCUCGCGGCCUAUCGGCUUGUUGGUGGGGUGAUGGCCUACCAAGGCAUUGACGGGUAGCCGGCCUGAGCGGGAGACCGGUUGAAAGGGGGCUGAGAUACGGCGGAGACGCGUACGGGAGGCAGCAGUGGGGAAUAGUGCACAAUGGGAGCAAGCCUGAUGCAGCGAAGCCGCGUGAGGGAUGGGGGCCGUCGGGUUGUGAACCUCUUUCGCUCAUGGUCAAGCCGCAACAAUGGUUGUGGGGCGGGUAGUGGGGAAAGAAGCGCCGGCUAACUACGU